rnacentral:siRNA from 1 species
AUAGUCUAUAGAGAACACUAC